GAUGAAAGAACGCAGCGAAAUGCGAUAAGUAAUGUGAAUUGCAGAAUUCAGUGAAUCAUCGAAUCUUUGAACGCACAUUGCGCCCGCCAGUAUUCUGGCGGGCAUGCCUGUUCGAGCGUCAUUUCAACCAUCAAGCCCCAGGCUUGUGUUGGGGACCUGCGGCUGCCGCAGGCCCUGAAAACCAGUGGCGGGCUCGCUGUCACACCGGGCGUAGUAGAUUUUAUCUCGCUCAGGGCGUGCUGCGGGUCCCGGCCGUUAAAAGCCUUUUUUUACCCAAGGUUGACCUCGGAUCAGGUAGGAAGACCCGCUGAACUUAAGCAUAUCAAUAAGCGGAGGA
rnacentral:misc_RNA from 1 species